UGGGGAAUUUUGGACAAUGGGCGCAAGCCUGAUCCAGCCAUGCCGCGUGUCUGAAGAAGGCCUUCGGGUUGUAAAGGACUUUUGUCAGGGAAGAAAAGGCUGUUGCUAAUAUCAGCGGCUGAUGACGGUACCUGAAGAAUAAGCACCGGCUAACUACGUGCCAGCAGCCGCGGUAAUACGUAGGGUGCGAGCGUUAAUCGGAAUUACUGGGCGUAAAGCGAGCGCAGACGGUUACUUAAGCAGGAUGUGAAAUCCCCGGGCUCAACCUGGGAACUGCGUUCUGAACUGGGUGACUAGAGUGUGUCAGAGGGAGGUAGAAUUCCACGUGUAGCAGUGAAAUGCGUAGAGAUGUGGAGGAAUACCGAUGGCGAAGGCAGCCUCCUGGGAUAACACUGACGUUCAUGCUCGAAAGCGUGGGUAGCAAACAGGAUUAGAUACCCUGGUAGUCCACGCCGUAAACGAUGUCGACUUGGAGGUUGUGCCCUUGAGGCGUGGCUUCCGGAGCUAACGCGUUAAGUCGACCGCCUGGGGAGUACGGCCGCAAGGUUA
rnacentral:rRNA from 1 species